rnacentral:rRNA from 1 species
AAAUUGAAGAGUUUGAUCAUGGCUCAGAUUGAACGCUGGCGGCAGGCCUAACACAUGCAAGUCGAGCGGUAGCACAGAGAGCUUGCUCUCGGGUGACGAGCGGCGGACGGGUGAGUAAUGUCUGGGAAACUGCCUGAUGGAGGGGGAUAACUACUGGAAACGGUAGCUAAUACCGCAUAAUGUCGCAAGACCAAAGUGGGGGACCUUCGGGCCUCAUGCCAUCAGAUGUGCCCAGAUGGGAUUAGCUAGUAGGUGGGGUAACGGCUCACCUAGGCGACGAUCCCUAGCUGGUCUGAGAGGAUGACCAGCCACACUGGAACUGAGACACGGUCCAGACUCCUACGGGAGGCAGCAGUGGGGAAUAUUGCACAAUGGGCGCAAGCCUGAUGCAGCCAUGCCGCGUGUGUGAAGAAGGCCUUCGGGUUGUAAAGCACUUUCAGCGGGGAGGAAGGCGUUAAGGUUAAUAACCUUGGCGAUUGACGUUACCCGCAGAAGAAGCACCGGCUAACUCCGUGCCAGCAGCCGCGGUAAUACGGAGGGUGCAAGCGUUAAUCGGAAUUACUGGGCGUAAAGCGCACGCAGGCGGUCUGUCAAGUCGGAUGUGAAAUCCCCGGGCUUAACCUGGGAACUGCAUUCGAAACUGGCAGGCUAGAGUCUUGUAGAGGGGGGUAGAAUUCCAGGUGUAGCGGUGAAAUGCGUAGAGAUCUGGAGGAAUACCGGUGGCGAAGGCGGCCCCCUGGACAAAGACUGACGCUCAGGUGCGAAAGCGUGGGGAGCAAACAGGAUUAGAUACCCUGGUAGUCCACGCCGUAAACGAUGUCGAUUUGGAGGUUGUGCCCUUGAGGCGUGGCUUCCGGAGCUAACGCGUUAAAUCGACCGCCUGGGGAGUACGGCCGCAAGGUUAAAACUCAAAUGAAUUGACGGGGGCCCGCACAAGCGGUGGAGCAUGUGGUUUAAUUCGAUGCAACGCGAAGAACCUUACCUGGUCUUGACAUCCACAGAACUUUCCAGAGAUGGAUUGGUGCCUUCGGGAACUGUGAGACAGGUGCUGCAUGGCUGUCGUCAGCUCGUGUUGUGAAAUGUUGGGUUAAGUCCCGCAACGAGCGCAACCCUUAUCCUUUGUUGCCAGCGGUUCGGCCGGGAACUCAAAGGAGACUGCCAGUGAUAAACUGGAGGAAGGUGGGGAUGACGUCAAGUCAUCAUGGCCCUUACGACCAGGGCUACACACGUGCUACAAUGGCAUAUACAAAGAGAAGCGACCUCGCGAGAGCAAGCGGACCUCAUAAAGUAUGUCGUAGUCCGGAUUGGAGUCUGCAACUCGACUCCAUGAAGUCGGAAUCGCUAGUAAUCGUAGAUCAGAAUGCUACGGUGAAUACGUUCCCGGGCCUUGUACACACCGCCCGUCACACCAUGGGAGUGGGUUGCAAAAGAAGUAGGUAGCUUAACCUUCGGGAGGGCGCUUACCACUUUGUGAUUCAUGACUGGGGUGAAGUCGUAACAAGGUAACCGUAGGGGAACCUGCGGUUGGAUCACCUCCUUACCUUAAAGAA